ACGAACGCUGGCGGCGUGCCUAAUACAUGCAAGUCGAACGCUUCUUUUUCCACCGGAGCUUGCUCCACCGGAAAAAGAGGAGUGGCGAACGGGUGAGUAACACGUGGGUAACCUGCCCAUCAGAAGGGGAUAACACUUGGAAACAGGUGCUAAUACCGUAUAACAAUCGAAACCGCAUGGUUUUGAUUUGAAAGGCGCUUUCGGGUGUCGCUGAUGGAUGGACCCGCGGUGCAUUAGCUAGUUGGUGAGGUAACGGCUCACCAAGGCGACGAUGCAUAGCCGACCUGAGAGGGUGAUCGGCCACAUUGGGACUGAGACACGGCCCAAACUCCUACGGGAGGCAGCAGUAGGGAAUCUUCGGCAAUGGACGAAAGUCUGACCGAGCAACGCCGCGUGAGUGAAGAAGGUUUUCGGAUCGUAAAACUCUGUUGUUAGAGAAGAACAAGGAUGAGAGUAACUGUUCAUCCCUUGACGGUAUCUAACCAGAAAGCCACGGCUAACUACGUGCCAGCAGCCGCGGUAAUACGUAGGUGGCAAGCGUUGUCCGGAUUUAUUGGGCGUAAAGCGAGCGCAGGCGGUUUCUUAAGUCUGAUGUGAAAGCCCCCGGCUCAACCGGGGAGGGUCAUUGGAAACUGGGAGACUUGAGUGCAGAAGAGGAGAGUGGAAUUCCAUGUGUAGCGGUGAAAUGCGUAGAUAUAUGGAGGAACACCAGUGGCGAAGGCGGCUCUCUGGUCUGUAACUGACGCUGAGGCUCGAAAGCGUGGGGAGCAAACAGGAUUAGAUACCCUGGUAGUCCACGCCGUAAACGAUGAUUGCUAAGUGUUGGAGGGUUUCCGGCAUUCAGUGCUGCAGCUAACGCAUUAAGCACUCCGCCUGGGGAGUACGACCGCAAGGUUGAAACUCAAAGGAAUUGACGGGGGCCCGCACAAGCGGUGGAGCAUGUGGUUUAAUUCGAAGCAACGCGAAGAACCUUACCAGGUCUUGACAUCCUUUGACCACUCUAGAGAUAGAGCUUCCCCUUCGGGGGCAAAGUGACAGGUGGUGCAUGGUUGUCGUCAGCUCGUGUCGUGAGAUGUUGGGUUAAGUCCCGCAACGAGCGCAACCCUUAUUGUUAGUUGCCAUCAUUUAGUUGGGCACUCUAGCAAGACUGCCGGUGACAAACCGGAGGAAGGUGGGGAUGACGUCAAAUCAUCAUGCCCCUUAUGACCUGGGCUACACACGUGCUACAAUGGGAAGUACAACGAGUCGCAAAGUCGCGAGGCUAAGCUAAUCUCUUAAAGCUUCUCUCAGUUCGGAUUGUAGGCUGCAACUCGCCUACAUGAAGCCGGAAUCGCUAGUAAUCGCGGAUCAGCACGCCGCGGUGAAUACGUUCCCGGGCCUUGUACACACCGCCCGUCACACCACGAGAGUUUGUAACACCCGAAGUCGGUGAGGUAACCUUUUGGAGCCAGCCGCCUAAGGUGGGAUAGAUGAUUGGGGUG
rnacentral:rRNA from 1 species